rnacentral:rRNA from 1 species
AACAGCUGUUUCACUGAAUCUGCGUACGGCUCCGUAUAUCUGUUAUAACCAAAUGUACUAUCCCAGUCCCGCGAGAUAACGGUGGAAACCCUAGCGUAUAAUACGUUCAGAAUAGAACAUAGAGUAACUGCCGGUAAGAAUCGCCAGACAAUGGCGACCUCUGGUGACUGCCGUCCAGCCUCCAGACUGUUAUCGCCCCUCCAGGAGGCCUCCGCCACCUCGGCGCCAGGCCCAGAUCCCUGGGGUUGUGGUGUUGGUCAGUGAGGUGCUAGGGCGAGCAUAGGGGGAUUACCCUCGGUGAAACAUGAGGACUCCUGCGCCUUCCCAUACCAGCCGGGGGCAACAAAAAGGGGAUACAAGCGGCGUUGCCUGUUGCGGGUGAGAACCCCGGCAGGCAGUAUGUCCCUGGCCCUUCUGUGGGGCCGGCUUCCCCCAACCUCGGUCUGUCUCGAUCGUGAGAGAGCGGGAGAGUUCCUAAUGGGUGCAAGAACACUCAUAUCUACAAUGGGUUUCAGCCUCAUCAACUAGAUGGUUGGGCAUUGGCCAACUAUGGUUGUAACGGGUGCAGAGGAUUGGGGUUUGAUCCUGGAGAGGUAGCCUGAGAAACAGCUUCCACUUCUAAGGAAGGCAGCAGGCGCGAAACGUUCUCAAUGAUUGUACCAGAUUGAAGACGUUAAGGGACAUAGCAAUAUUUUGUCGAAAAGAUGAAAUAAUUGAAAUGAGAGAGGUUUAAAUAACCCAUUGAGUAACUAUUGGAGGACAAGUCUG